rnacentral:tRNA from 1 species
GUAGUUGUAGUAUAGUUGUGAGUAUUCCCGUCUGUCACAUGGGUGACCCGGGUUCGAUCCCCGGCAAUGGCG